GCCGAUGAUGAUAAAUCACAUCUGAUUUGUGAUGAACCCUAUGAGUUCUGAGG
rnacentral:snoRNA from 1 species